AGGAGACCGUGAGGAUGGAGAGGGUGUAGGAGACAGUGAGGAUGGAGAGGGUGUAGGAGACAGUGAGGCUGGAGAGGGUGUAGGAGACAGUGAGGCUGGAGAGGGUGUAGGAGACAGUGAGCAUGGAGAGGGUGUAGGAGACAGUAAUGAUGGAGAGGGUGUAGGAUAUAGUGAGGGUGGAGAGGGUGAUGGAGACAGUGAGGGUGGAGAGGGUGAUGGAGACAGUGAGGCUGGAGAGGGUGUAGUAGACAGUGGGCUGGAGAGGGUGUGGGAGACAGUGAGGAUGGAGAUGGGUUAGGAGACAGUGACCAUGGAGAGGGUGUAGGAGAC
ensembl:lncRNA